UGGGGAAUAUUGCACAAUGAGCGCAAGCCUGAUGCAGCCAUGCCGCGUGUGUGAAGAAGGCCUUCGGGUUGUAAAGCACUUUCAGCGGGGAGGAAGGCGUUAAGGUUAAUAACCUUGGCGAUUGACGUUACCCGCAGAAGAAGCACCGGCUAACUCCGUGCCAGCAGCCGCGGUAAUACGGAGGGUGCAAGCGUUAAUCGGAAUUACUGGGCGUAAAGCGCACGCAGGCGGUCUGUCAAGUCGGAUGUGAAAUCCCCGGGCUCAACCUGGGAACUGCAUUCGAAACUGGCAGGCUAGAGUCUUGUAGAGGGGGGUAGAAUUCCAGGUGUAGCGGUGAAAUGCGUAGAGAUCUGGAGGAAUACCGGUGGCGAAGGCGGCCCCCUGGACAAAGACUGACGCUCAGGUGCGAAAGCGUGGGGAGCAAACAGG
rnacentral:rRNA from 1 species